UACGUAGGGUGCAAGCGUUGUCCGGAAUUAUUGGGCGUAAAGAGCUCGUAGGCGGUUUGUCGCGUCUGCUGUGAAAACCCGAGGCUCAACCUCGGGCCUGCAGUGGGUACGGGCAGACUAGAGUGCGGUAGGGGAGAUUGGAAUUCCUGGUGUAGCGGUGGAAUGCGCAGAUAUCAGGAGGAAUACCUAUGGCGAAAGCCAGGUAGUCUGGGCCAUCACUGACGCUGAGCUGCGAAAGCUAGGGGAGCAAACAGG
rnacentral:rRNA from 1 species